UCCGGUUGCAUCAGGUAACGUUUCUUGACUCAGACGCAAAGAUUUUGCUUUCCACGUUUCCAGUUCAGUUUGUAAAUUCUCCAGCUCUUUCAGUUGCUCACUUAUAAGCACAAUAUCCAGCUCAGCCACUUCAUUUUUCAACUCAUUGACCUUUUGUUCCUCCUCAAAAUAAUCAGUGUUUGCUUGCACUCCAGGAAGUAGUUCCUUCUCAUCAACUCCUGCUGCACCUUCUUUCUCAUGUGUAGAAACUGAGGGGUCAGAUUCCAGACCAUCUGUCUCAGCUGUUACAGGCUUCAGGAUUUGACUCUUCAGGCACACACUCUGUUGAACCUGAUCCUCAUCCUCUCUGUAGGAUUGAUUCUUGACAUCAGCAGGUUUCUCUUUUUGCUUCACUGGACUUGUUUCCCUUCUUAUUUCAUCACUUCCAGCACCAACAUCAUCCUGACGCCUUUCCAGUUCUGCUCUGUCCAGAAGGUUCUCUUGGACUCCAUCACAUGUGUCCAUACCUGGGCUCUCUUUAUCAGCUUCCUCCUGCUGAGCAGUUUGGCUGUAUCUGUCCUUUCCUUGAUGGAUACUCUGUAAUGGGCUGUCUGACAACACACUGCUUUCUUCCAAAAGCAAACCAUUUUGCUUCUCUUUCUCUGAUACACUCCCAAUUACAACUUGACCAUUAUGCAUUUCCAAACACUCCCUUAACUCUGCUGUUGUGGUGCCCUCUUCUGCAGCAAUAGGAGUAUCUGAAGUGAUCUGCAUCUCCCUUUUUAGCAUUCUAUCUGUCUUAUUCUCCAUCUGUAUUCCAUCCAUGAGAUCAUCUUUUAACUCAAGGGCUUCACUGAAAAUAUUUUCUUUCUUUUGCUUGACAUUUUCAAGUUUUUCUUCAAGACUCCUAUGUUCACUCUGAAGUGUUUCAAUCUCAUCCUCAAUAUACUUCUGUCCUAGUGAAGAAGUGUUUUGUUUAACGGUUUCUGCUAAACCCAAAAUCUUCUUUAACAUGUCUUCAAGUUGACAAAGAGGUGCUUGUUGUUCCUGUGAUUUCAAUUGUUUUUGCUCAGUGGAUGGUUGUUCCACUGCUGGACUCACACAAUCAGCAAGUUUUUUGGAAACAGUUUUUAGUUCUGUGCUCAAGGCUGUUACCAUAUCCUGAAACUGCUGGUGCUCUUGAACAUGUC
rnacentral:lncRNA from 1 species